rnacentral:rRNA from 1 species
AUUGAACGCUGGCGGCAGGCCUAACACAUGCAAGUCGAGCGGCAGCGGGACCUUCGGGUUGCCGGCGAGCGGCGGACGGGUGAGUAAUGCCUAGGAAUCUGCCUGAUAGUGGGGGAUAACGCGGGGAAACUCGCGCUAAUACCGCAUACGUCCUACGGGAGAAAGCGGGGGCUCUUCGGACCUCGCGCUAACAGAUGAGCCUAGGUCGGGUUAGCUAGUUGGGGGGGUAAUGGCCCACCAAGGCGACGAUCCGUAACUGGUCUGAGAGGAUGAUCAGUCACACUGGAACUGAGACACGGUCCAGACUCCUACGGGAGGCAGCAGUGGGGAAUAUUGGACAAUGGGCGAAAGCCUGAUCCAGCCAUGCCGCGUGUGUGAAGAAGGUCUUCGGAUUGUAAAGCACUUUAAGUCGGGAGGAAGGGCUGUAGGCUAAUACCUUGCAGUUUUGACGUUACCGACAGAAUAAGCACCGGCUAACUUCGUGCCAGCCGCCGCCGUAACAC